rfam:Peniophora sp. CONT PENSPscaffold_27_Cont53, whole genome shotgun sequence.
GCUGCUAUAGUGUAGUGGUUAUCACUCGGGAUUUUGAACGUGCCCUUCGAGUGGUGCGGAAGGCUUCCCGUAACCCAGGUUCGAACCCUGGUAGCAGCU